rnacentral:rRNA from 1 species
UUCCGGUUGAUCCUGCCAGAGGCCACUGCUAUCGGAGUUCGAUUAAGCCAUGCGAGUCGAGAGGUGCAAGACCUCGGCAUACUGCUCAGUAACACGUGACAACCUACCCUAUGAGGGGGAUAACCCCGGGAACUGGGGAUAAUACCCCAUAGACUAUGGAUGCUGGAAUGCUUUGUAGUUAAAAGGUCCGCCGCCAUAGGAUGGGUCUGCGGCCGAUUAGGUUGUUGUUGGGGAACGGCCCAACAAAGCCUGUAAUCGGUACGGGUUGUGGGAGCAAGAGCCCGGAGAUGGAUUCUGAGACACGAAUCCAGGCCCUACGGGGCGCAGCAGGCGCGAAAACUUUACAAUGCGGGAAACCGUGACAGGGGGAUCCCAAGUGCUCAUGCAUUGCAUGGGCUGUUCUUUGGUCUAAGUAACCAGAGGAGUAAGAGCUGGGCAAGACCGGUGCCAGCCGCCGCGGUAAUACCGGCAGCUCAAGUGGUAGCCGCGAUUAUUGGGCCUAAAGCGUUCGUAGCCGGAUAAGUAAGUCUUUGGUUAAAUCCUGCGACUUAACCGUGGGAAAUCUAGAGAUACUGCUUGUCUUGAGACCGGGAGAGGUUGGAGGUACUCCCAGGGUAGGGGUGAAAUCCUGUAAUCCUGGGGGGACCACCUGUGGCGAAGGCGUCCAACUGGAACGGGGUCUGACGGUGAGGGACGAAACCUAGGGGAGCGAGCCGGAUUAGAUACCCGGGUAGUCCUAGGCGUAAAUGAUGCGAGUUAAGUGUGGGGGCAUCUACUAGAUGGCCCUGUGCUGUAGGGUAGCCGUUAAACUCGCCGCCUGGGGGAGUACGGUCGCAAGGCUGAAACUAAAGGAAUUGGCGGGGGAGCAC